GAGAGAUGGCGGAGUGGUCGAUCGCGGCGGUCUUGAAAACCGUUGAUGUGAACAGCAUCCGGGGGUUCGAAUCCCUCUCUCUCC
rnacentral:tRNA from 1 species